rnacentral:rRNA from 1 species
GAUGAACGCUAGCGACAGGCUUAACACAUGCAAGUCGAGGGGCAGCAUAAAAGUAGCAAUACUUUGGUGGCGACCGGCGCACGGGUGAGUAACGCGUAUGCAACCUACCUAUCAGAGGGGAAUAACCCGGCGAAAGUCGGACUAAUACCGCAUAAAACAGGGGCCCCGCAUGGUGAUAUUUGUUAAAGAAAUUCGCUGAUAGAUGGGCAUGCGUUCCAUUAGGUAGUUGGCGAGGUAACGGCUCACCAAGCCGACGAUGGACAGGGGAACUGAGAGGUUGGUCCCCCACACUGGUACUGAGACACGGACCAGACUCCUACGGGAGGCAGCAGUGAGGAAUAUUGGUCAAUGGGCGAGAGCCUGAACCAGCCAAGUCGCGUGAAGGAAGAAGGAUCUAUGGUUCGUAAACUUCUUUUGCAGGGGAAUAAAGUGCAGGACGUGUCCUGUUUUGUAUGUACCCUGAGAAUAAGGAUCGGCUAACUCCGUGCCAGCCGCCGCCGUAAAAC